CCUAAUUCCUUAAUUUAAGUGUUUAACAUCAUAUAAUCACAAGCAAAUUCAAAUAAUAUGUUUCUAUCUUUCAAACCCAUUUCAAUAUUCAACUUUUUUCAACUUCAAUACUCAAAUAACAUUCUUUGCUAUAUUCCUAUUUAUAACCUCAAAUACAUAUAAAUAACAACCAAUUAUUGCUAAACUUCGAAGUAAAGUAAAUUUUCCAUUAACCCCAAAAUAUUCAAGUAACAUAAACUUCAAUUAGCUCUUGAAAAUAAGAAGAAUUAAGGAAUAAAACCUCAAUCUUCAAAAGCCAACACACAUUUCUUCUUCUUCUCCUUCAGUCUUUCCUUUUUCUCGUUCAUUUUUGUCUUAUUUUUUUCUCUGCUUCUCCCAGUCGGUUUCUCCCCCAGCAAUGA
rnacentral:lncRNA from 1 species